GGCGAGAACGUACAGAACAGACCUCAGUGUUUCCCAAUAUCUAUCCCGUCUGAUGAUCCCCAUUUCGAUGACUCCUGCAUGGAAUUCGUCAGAUCAGCCCCCUCUCCUCCAGGGGAUGGAUGUCAACUUGGUCCUCAAGAACAAAUCAACCAGAUCACAUCAUUCAUUGAUGGCGGUUCAGUGUAUGGAAGCUCUAAAGAGAAAAUGGAAGAGCUUAAAAACACAGACACAGGACAGAUGAGAACUUCCCCCGGGGAUUUGUUGCCUCCAGCAGUCGAUGACACUUGUGAAUCUUCUGCUGAGACAGACUUCUGUCAAAAUGCCGGCGACUUAAGGGUUAACGAGAUUCCUUCCCUUGGUGGAAACCACCUGCUGUUUGUCAGAGAGCACAACAGAAUUGUUGGAGAACUCCGAAAAGUCCAACCAAAAUGGAGUUCUUUAAAAUUAUAUCAGGAGGCGCGUAAGAUAAUCGGAGCCCUUCUGCAGCAAGUGACGUACGGAGAGUUCCUUCCAAGCAUCUUGAGCAAACAGGAUCUUGAGAAUCAUAAGCUAAAGCUGCGGAACUCGGGAUUCAGCAACAAUUAUGAUAGCAGUAGAAAUCCAGCAACCAAAAACGCUUUUAACGCUGCUGUUUUUCGAUUUGGUCAUUCCUUGAUUCCGCCAAACCUCGCCUACCUUCUUUAUGACUUUAUGUCACGCGUCAACUCCACUACAAUUGAGUCCAUAUUCUUUAAUCCGCACCUAUUGAUUACAGAAGGUGGAAGAAGGGUGUCGGAUUUGGCGCGCUUUAUUGUUACAUCGAAUUCCAUGAAGGUUGACAAUCAACUAGAAGGUGCGGUGCGAGACCAUCUUUUUGAAAACGCGCAUGGUAAAGGAAUGGACCUUGGGGCUCUUAAUUUGCAAAGAGGUCGUGAUCAUGGACUUCCUCCGUAUAAUGCAUGGCGCAAAUGGUGUGGACUUACGGUAGCCACCUCUUUCUCAAAUUUACCAGACAUUACUGAUGAAAAGAAAACUGUCCUUGCUGACCUCUACAGUGGGGUAGAUGACAUUGACCUGUUUGCUGGUGGAGUAGCAGAAACCCCUCUGGACGGAGCUGCUGUCGGUCCAUUGUUCUCCUGUAUCAUAGGGAACCAGUUCCGAGACCUUAAAGAUGGAGACAGAUACUGGUACGAGAACCGAGGAGUGGAGGGCUUUAAACAGGCGCAACUACGAGAAAUCAGGAAAGUCAAACUUGCCAAGAUCGUAUGUACAAACUUAGGAGUGGAUCCCAUCCAACCUGAUGUGUUCCAUGUUCCUAGCCCAAGUAAUAACUGGCAAAGCUGUAGUCAAUUUCCGGAAAUAGACUUCGCCAGAUGGAGAUGAGCAGAUGUUCAUACCUAUUGACAGUAUUGCGUUUGUGUGUACUUGAGUUCUCCUGUGAAAUUGUUUUGUUAAAGACUCUGAUUAUUGCAUUUAAUUUGUUAAUGUUCCAUUAAUAUUUUAAACGAAUGAUUCUUUAAUUUUAUAGAUUGUAGUGAUUGUAGUGAUUGAAAAUUAAAAAAUGAAUUUGUAAUUUCUUUUAGUCUGAUUGUUGUUAUAACUGCGUUACAGCUCUUUAGUGAUUUUUGAUAGUGGCUGUAUAAAAAAACAUACCGGGUUUAAAAAAUGAAAAAAAACCUGUGGCAAUCUCUAUUCAUGCAUGGUGUAAUCUUUAUCCAGAUCUUCAGGCAUGAUGUGAAAAGGAUUAAUACAAUUCUUAGUGUCUUUUUGUUCUCUCCUCAAAAUAUAAAAAAAGAUCUUACAUUUCAUCAAGGUUUGUACUAUUCUGGCAUUUUUGGUCAUAUCUAUUGUGCUAUAAAAUAACGCAAAAUGCAUUUAUAUGAUUCAAUUUUAAAAGUAAAACAAAAGUAAAUCAUC
rnacentral:misc_RNA from 1 species